rnacentral:rRNA from 1 species
GACGAACGCUGGCGGCGUGCUUAACACAUGCAAGUCGAACGGUGAAGCGCCUUCCUUUUUGGUGGGUGUGGAUGAGUGGCGAACGGGUGAGUAACACGUGAGUAACCUGCCCCCUUCUUCUGGAUAACCGCAUGAAAGUGUGGCUAAUACGGGAUAUUCUGGGUCUGUCGCAUGAUGGGUCUGGGAAAGAUAUUGUUUCGGUGGGGGAUGGGCUCGCGGCCUAUCAGCUUGUUGGUGGGGUGAUGGCCUACCAAGGCGGUGACGGGUAGCCGGCCUGAGAGGGUGGACGGUCACACUGGGACUGAGACACGGACCAGACUCCUACGGGAGGCAGCAGUGGGGAAUAUUGCACAGUGGGCGCAAGCCUGAUGCAGCGACGCCGCGUGAGGGAUGGAGGCCUUCGGGUUGUGAACCUCUUUCGCCAGUGAAGCAGGCCUGCCUCGUUUGUGGGUGGGUUGACGGUAGCUGGAUAAGAAGCGCCGGCUAACUACGUG